rnacentral:misc_RNA from 1 species
UGAAGCAGUAUUUCCAGACAUGCCCUUGGAUUUUUUUGAGGCCCUUUCUUUUCCAUCAGGGGAUUUUCCUUCAUAUUCUGCAUUAAUUGGUACAGAGCCAGGAGUCACGGUGAUAUUGGGAUGGGCAUAAACUCCAACAAUGGCUUCCACUUCUUGUUUCCUUCACCACCACGCCCUCACCGCCGCCGCUGCCGCAAGAUCAUCGUCUUCCCCACGCCAGGUGGCCCCGCCCAAGUCCGGGCAGCUGCUCGUCUGCCGUGCCCAGAAGCAGCAAGCGGCUCAAGAGGAGGACGGCGGCGUUGUCUCUCGCCGAUUGGCUCUCACCGUCCUCAUCGGUGCCGCUGCUCUCGGCUCCAAGGUUUCACCGGCUGAUGCUGCCUAUGGAGAAGCUGCCAAUGUGUUUGGAAAGCCAAAGGCCAACACAGA